rnacentral:rRNA from 1 species
GUGUCAGCAGCCGCGGUAAUACGUAGGUGGCAAGCGUUGUCCGGAUUUACUGGGCGUAAAGCGCGCGCAGGCGGACUGGUCAGUCCGGGGUGAAAUCUCACGGCUCAACCGUGAGGGGUCCCUGGAUACUGCCAGUCUUGAGGGGCUCAGAGGAGAGUGGAAUUCCGGGUGUAGUGGUGGAAUGCGUAGAUAUCCGGAGGAACACCAGUGGCGAAAGCGGCUCUCUGGGGGCAACCUGACGCUGAGGCGCGAAAGCGUGGGGAGCGAACCGGAUUAGAAACCCGAGUAGUCC